UACGGAGGGAGCUAGCGUUGUUCGGAAUUACUGGGCGUAAAGCGCGCGUAGGCGGCCUUGCAAGUUAGAGGUGAAAGCCCGGAGCUCAACUCCGGAAUUGCCUUUAAGACUGCAUCGCUAGAAUUGUGGAGAGGUGAGUGGAAUUCCGAGUGUAGAGGUGAAAUUCGUAGAUAUUCGGAAGAACACCAGUGGCGAAGGCGGCCCUCUGGACGGUGACUGACGCUGAGACGCGAAAAGCGUGGGGAGCAAACAGGG
rnacentral:rRNA from 1 species